GCCGUAUCGGUUAGAUCGGGAUACUCAUCAAAUUAAAUCAAGAACACCGGGAUCACCUGUCUCUCAAUGGCGGGCCACAUCCGAAAGGAGAGCCCUCGGGCCGGUGGAUUACAACGAAGGCAGGUCCUCAAAUCUUAUUAGCUCGGAGUUUUCAUCACAUCAUCGGUACGGCCUUUUU
rnacentral:sRNA from 1 species